rnacentral:rRNA from 1 species
GACGAACGCUGGCGGCGUGCCUAAUACAUGCAAGUAGAACGCACAGUUUAUACCGUAGCUUGCUACACCAUAGACUGUGAGUUGCGAACGGGUGAGUAACGCGUAGGUAACCUGCCUGGUAGCGGGGGAUAACUAUUGGAAACGAUAGCUAAUACCGCAUAAUAUUAAUUAUUGCAUGUUAAUUAAUUGAAAGGUGCAAUUGCACCACUACCAGCUGGACCUGCGUUGUAUUAGCUAGUAGGUGAGGUAACGGCUCACCUAGGCGACGAUACAUAGCCGACCUGAGAGGGUGAUCGGCCACACUGGGACUGAGACACGGCCCAGACUCCUACGGGAGGCAGCAGUAGGGAAUCUUCGGCAAUGGACGAAAGUCUGACCGAGCAACGCCGCGUGAGUGAAGAAGGUUUUCGGAUCGUAAAGCUCUGUUGUAAGAGAAGAACGGGUGUGAGAGUGGAUAGUUCACACUGUGACGGUAUCUUACCAGAAAGGGACGGCUACCUACGU